CCUGAAUGUUGGCCAAUUUUGCCUGACAUCCGUCAUACACAAUUUUUACUUCUCAUCACCGUUGCGAUUUUCUCCCAACGUUCUUCUCCACCCUUUCUUGAAUCUUGAAUAUAUAAAAAGACUUGUCCAAGAUAUGCGCACACGACAUGGCUACGCCUGUUGUAAGGAGCGGAAAGUAGUGAAAAGAAUGCGCUGGGCGGAGAAACAUCAAACCCUGUCAAAGGUACCAGGUAUCUGGAACUUUCCGCGGCGGAGAAUGUCUUCCAAACUUCAGAGUUGGUGUUGGCGAGUUUAAUCAGAUGCAUAAGCUUGGUACCAGUAGUCGAUAAUGAUCGCGUAGCUUGGGUGGGACGAUCUUUAAUAUAAGCCUUUUGCCAUUGCAAACUGAGCGUACGGUCA
rnacentral:sRNA from 1 species